AAGCGCGCGGCCCCGAGGUCGCGAGGGAGCCGGUCCGCUCGCGCCGCCCGCGGGGCGCUGCCUCAGCCCGUAAAUCCUGAGGGGAGCCGGGGGACGAGCGGCCGCGGAAGGGAAAGGCUCCUCUGCGGGACGCCAAAUGCCCGGAGUGGGCGGCUGUCGAAGCUGAGGCACCGGGAGGGAUCUAGGGCUCCACGUGGAGCACUUAAUUUCCAAACCGAUAGAGCUCAUCCAAAUGUUCUUCCAUAGAGUGGAUCUACAUCCUGCCACAGAAGAAAUGCAUACUUGAGAUUUCUCAAUUUGGUAUUGGAGCCAGCUCAUAUGUAUGAGGUGCAAUAUGGCUAUGGAUGCUGAGGAACUGGCUUCACGAAGAAGAGAUAGCAAGUGCUAUCCAAGGCAGCAGGACAGGUGGUGUGAAAGACCUGUGGAAAACUUUUUGCCCACAGUGUGAAAACUGAACAAAUGUGUGGCAUGAAAAAUUUUAAGAUUAAUAUGCUGACUUUGCAUGAAGACUGAAUAUUCUUAGUACUGCAUUCUUGAAAAUACCUCCCAUGUGUCUGUCCUCAGUCAGCGGAGGUGUACUUUGAAGACUUGGCCCCCGACCAUGGAAAGAAGACUGCUUGGAUAGCACUAGCUGGAAUCACUCUGAAGGACUAUCAGUCUACGGAAUGGUUCUCUCACCACUGUCUGAGGCAGUCAACAGAACUGAAUUACUGGGUAUAUAUUUUUCCUACAAUGAGCUUUCUUCUUGUAAGUAACCUACUUCUUCAGAGUUUUCUGGUUUGCUUUUUUUUCCCUGAGAGGAGGAGGAAUGGGGUAGAUGAAAAAGGUAGAAAGCUAAAUCUGAAAGAAAAUAUUUGGAUUUCUUAUUGAUGCUUAUACUUCAGGAGGAAAUGGACAUCACUGCAAGUUAACAAAAUGGAAAUGUAUGUAUAUUAAAAGGAUUUUUUUGUUCUCGCCAGGAAUAGAAUGCCUUGACUAAUCAUAAUUGGUUUCAUGUCUUGGAAUUAGGGUCAGUGGCCAGGAAGAGUUCUUAUAAGAGAUUUGUAAGAAAUUCAGUAUUUCUUCUAAGUGUCUAAAGAAGGAGAUCAUGUAUUACACUUUCUUUAAAUAAGCUCUGUUCAUGAUUUACUUUGUGGGAUGAAAGAUUGUCAGUUUGUGCCUUAAAUCCAUGCUUUUUGAAGAUGUUUUUGAACCUUUGUUAGUUAUAGUUUAUGUAGCAGUGCUGAAUUCUCUGCUGCACCGCAAAUUCAAGUUGCUGUCUGAAAAUUAAGCUUUGAAUUCUGGAUGAAUAUCUGUGAAAGUAGGCCCCAUAUGACCUGAGAUUCUUUCAAAAGAAUCUCAUUUGCCUAGAAUUGCAUGCAAGAAUAUAGUUUUGCUUUAGAGACUAUGCUGUGUUGCUGUCAUUUACCCAUUGCAGGAGAUGUUCUUGAAUGUACUGCUGAAAAAAAAACUGUUAUAAAUAAUCCUGUGUUUAGUAGCCCUCUAAACCAGAGAGGGAUUACAGUUAGUCAGGUGAACUGGAUGCUGUAUUAGCAAGGAUACAAUGACCCAAAUUACAUUUUCUAUUGAAAUAAUGUUAAAGAUUACUAUGUUUUCACCUACAGCAAACUUCAGACUCAUUGAAUUUGUAUGUACCAAUUCCAGUAGUACAAAACCACAAUUUGCAGCAUGGCUGGGAAUUCUGCUGACUUUUCCUCUGAGCACCUGUUCUGCUUUUUGGUAAUCCUGCUAUUGAUUACUUCAGUUUCUUUUGGUUGUGAAUGUUUAAACUACUUUUGUGUACUUGUUAUGUUUAUUUUGAUAUUAAACACAUCCUUUUUGCAGCUACUUUUUAGCAAGCUUUCAGCAGACAAACAUCAAGUGGAACUAGUCCUCAUAACAUCCAUGUAGCAAACAUCCCAACAUACCUUGGUGUCUGGCAAGGUUCAUGCACGCCACAGCACAGGCACAGAAUUCAUUGAGCCCACUCAUACUGAUCUCUGUGAUGCUGUACCUCAUGUGGGGCACUACAGUUCCUUACCAUUUAACAGUUAAUGUUU